rnacentral:rRNA from 4 species
GGGUUGUGAGGUUAAGCGACUAAGCGUACACGGUGGAUGCCCUGGCAGUCAGAGGCGAUGAAGGACGUGCUAAUCUGCGAUAAGCGUCGGUAAGGUGAUAUGAACCGUUAUAACCGGCGAUUUCCGAAUGGGGAAACCCAGUGUGAUUCGUCACACUAUCAUUAACUGAAUCCAUAGGUUAAUGAGGCGAACCGGGGGAACUGAAACAUCUAAGUACCCCGAGGAAAAGAAAUCAACCGAGAUUCCCCCAGUAGCGGCGAGCGAACGGGGAGGAGCCCAGAGCCUGAAUCAGUGUGUGUGUUAGUGGAAGCGUCUGGAAAGGCGCGCGAUACAGGGUGACAGCCCCGUACACAAAAAUGCACAUGCUGUGAGCUCGAUGAGUAGGGCGGGACACGUGGUAUCCUGUCUGAAUAUGGGGGGACCAUCCUCCAAGGCUAAAUACUCCUGACUGACCGAUAGUGAACCAGUACCGUGAGGGAAAGGCGAAAAGAACCCCGGCGAGGGGAGUGAAAAAGAACCUGAAACCGUGUACGUACAAGCAGUGGGAGCACAGAGCAAUCUGUGUGACUGCGUACCUUUUGUAUAAUGGGUCAGCGACUUAUAUUCUGUAGCAAGGUUAACCGAAUAGGGGAGCCGAAGGGAAACCGAGUCUUAACUGGGCGUUAAGUUGCAGGGUAUAGACCCGAAACCCGGUGAUCUAGCCAUGGGCAGGUUGAAGGUUGGGUAACACUAACUGGAGGACCGAACCGACUAAUGUUGAAAAAUUAGCGGAUGACUUGUGGCUGGGGGUGAAAGGCCAAUCAAACCGGGAGAUAGCUGGUUCUCCCCGAAAGCUAUUUAGGUAGCGCCUCGUGAAUUCAUCUCCGGGGGUAGAGCACUGUUUCGGCAAGGGGGUCAUCCCGACUUACCAACCCGAUGCAAACUGCGAAUACCGGAGAAUGUUAUCACGGGAGACACACGGCGGGUGCUAACGUCCGUCGUGAAGAGGGAAACAACCCAGACCGCCAGCUAAGGUCCCAAAGUCAUGGUUAAGUGGGAAACGAUGUGGGAAGGCCCAGACAGCCAGGAUGUUGGCUUAGAAGCAGCCAUCAUUUAAAGAAAGCGUAAUAGCUCACUGGUCGAGUCGGCCUGCGCGGAAGAUGUAACGGGGCUAAACCAUGCACCGAAGCUGCGGCAGCGACGCUGAUGCGUUGUUGGGUAGGGGAGCGUUCUGUAAGCCUGUGAAGGUGUGCUGUGAGGCAUGCUGGAGGUAUCAGAAGUGCGAAUGCUGACAUAAGUAACGAUAAAGCGGGUGAAAAGCCCGCUCGCCGGAAGACCAAGGGUUCCUGUCCAACGUUAAUCGGGGCAGGGUGAGUCGACCCCUAAGGCGAGGCCGAAAGGCGUAGUCGAUGGGAAACAGGUUAAUAUUCCUGUACUUGGUGUUACUGCGAAGGGGGGACGGAGAAGGCUAUGUUGGCCGGGCGACGGUUGUCCCGGUUUAAGCGUGUAGGCUGGUUUUCCAGGCAAAUCCGGAAAACUAAGGCUGAGGCGUGAUGACGAGGCACUACGGUGCUGAAGCAACAAAUGCCCUGCUUCCAGGAAAAGCCUCUAAGCAUCAGGUAACAUCAAAUCGUACCCCAAACCGACACAGGUGGUCAGGUAGAGAAUACCAAGGCGCUUGAGAGAACUCGGGUGAAGGAACUAGGCAAAAUGGUGCCGUAACUUCGGGAGAAGGCACGCUGAUAUGUAGGUGAAGUCCCUCGCGGAUGGAGCUGAAAUCAGUCGAAGAUACCAGCUGGCUGCAACUGUUUAUUAAAAACACAGCACUGUGCAAACACGAAAGUGGACGUAUACGGUGUGACGCCUGCCCGGUGCCGGAAGGUUAAUUGAUGGGGUCAGCGCAAGCGAAGCUCUUGAUCGAAGCCCCGGUAAACGGCGGCCGUAACUAUAACGGUCCUAAGGUAGCGAAAUUCCUUGUCGGGUAAGUUCCGACCUGCACGAAUGGCGUAAUGAUGGCCAGGCUGUCUCCACCCGAGACUCAGUGAAAUUGAACUCGCUGUGAAGAUGCAGUGUACCCGCGGCAAGACGGAAAGACCCCGUGAACCUUUACUAUAGCUUGACACUGAACAUUGAGCCUUGAUGUGUAGGAUAGGUGGGAGGCUUUGAAGUGUGGACGCCAGUCUGCAUGGAGCCGACCUUGAAAUACCACCCUUUAAUGUUUGAUGUUCUAACGUUGACCCGUAAUCCGGGUUGCGGACAGUGUCUGGUGGGUAGUUUGACUGGGGCGGUCUCCUCCUAAAGAGUAACGGAGGAGCACGAAGGUUGGCUAAUCCUGGUCGGACAUCAGGAGGUUAGUGCAAUGGCAUAAGCCAGCUUGACUGCGAGCGUGACGGCGCGAGCAGGUGCGAAAGCAGGUCAUAGUGAUCCGGUGGUUCUGAAUGGAAGGGCCAUCGCUCAACGGAUAAAAGGUACUCCGGGGAUAACAGGCUGAUACCGCCCAAGAGUUCAUAUCGACGGCGGUGUUUGGCACCUCGAUGUCGGCUCAUCACAUCCUGGGGCUGAAGUAGGUCCCAAGGGUAUGGCUGUUCGCCAUUUAAAGUGGUACGCGAGCUGGGUUUAGAACGUCGUGAGACAGUUCGGUCCCUAUCUGCCGUGGGCGCUGGAGAACUGAGGGGGGCUGCUCCUAGUACGAGAGGACCGGAGUGGACGCAUCACUGGUGUUCGGGUUGUCAUGCCAAUGGCACUGCCCGGUAGCUAAAUGCGGAAGAGAUAAGUGCUGAAAGCAUCUAAGCACGAAACUUGCCCCGAGAUGAGUUCUCCCUGACUCCUUGAGAGUCCUGAAGGAACGUUGAAGACGACGACGUUGAUAGGCCGGAUGUGUAAGCGCAGCGAUGCGUUGAGCUAACCGGUACUAAUGAACCGUGAGGCUUAACCUUACAACGCCGAAGGUGUUU